UACAGAGGUGGCAAGCGUUGUUCGGAAUUACUGGGCGUAAAGGGCGCGUAGGCGGUCUUGUAAGUCUUGUGUGAAAUCCCUCGGCUCAACUGAGGAACUGCACGGGAUACUGCGAGACUUGAGUUCGGGAGAGGGAAGCGGAAUUCCGGGUGUAGCGGUGAAAUGCGUAGAUAUCCGGAGGAACACCGGUGGCGAAGGCGGCUUCCUGGACCGAUUGACUGACGCUGAGGCGCGAAAUGCGUAGGGGAGCAAAGCGGG
rnacentral:rRNA from 1 species